rnacentral:rRNA from 1 species
UACGUAGGGUGCGAGCGUUAAUCGGAAUUACUGGGCGUAAAGCGUGCGCAGGCGGUUCGUCAAGUCUGAUGUGAAAGCCCCGGGCUCAACCUGGGAACUGCAUUGGAUACUAGCGAGCUUGAGUGUGGCAGAGGGGGGUGGAAUUCCACGUGUAGCAGUGAAAUGCGUAGAGAUGUGGAGGAACACCGAUGGCGAAGGCAGCCCCCUGGGCUGACACUGACGCUCAGGCACGAAAGCCAGGGGAGCAAACGGG